rnacentral:rRNA from 1 species
AUUGAACGCUGGCGGCAGGCCUAACACAUGCAAGUCGAACGGUAGCACAGAGAGCUUGCUCUUGGGUGACGAGUGGCGGACGGGUGAGUAAUGUCUGGGAAACUGCCUGAUGGAGGGGGAUAACUACUGGAAACGGUAGCUAAUACCGCAUAACGUCGCAAGACCAAAGAGGGGGACCUUCGGGCCUCGUGCCAUCAGAUGUGCCCAGAUGGGAUUAGCUAGUAGGUGGGGUAAUGGCUCACCUAGGCGACGAUCCCUAGCUGGUCGGAGAGGAUGACCAGCCACACUGGAACUGAGACACGGUCCAGACUCCUACGGGAGGCAGCAGUGGGGAAUAUUGCACAAUGGGCGCAAGCCUGAUGCAGCCAUGCCGCGUGUAUGAAGAAGGCCUUCGGGUUGUAAAGUACUUUCAGCGAGGAGGAAGGUGGUGAGGUUAAUAACCUCAUCAAUUGACAUUACUCGCAGAAGAAGCACCGGCUAACUCCGUGCCAGCCGCCGCCGUAAUAC